rnacentral:rRNA from 1 species
AAAUUGAAGAGUUUGAUCAUGGCUCAGAUUGAACGCUGGCGGCAGGCCUAACACAUGCAAGUCGAACGGUAACACAGAGAGCUUGCUCUCGGGUGACGAGUGGCGGACGGGUGAGUAAUGUCUGGGAAACUGCCUGAUGGAGGGGGAUAACUACUGGAAACGGUGGCUAAUACCGCAUAACGUCGCAAGACCAAAGAGGGGGACCUUCGGGCCUCUUGCC